rnacentral:sRNA from 1 species
GGAUGGGGUGUCUUAAUUACAACUAAUUGACCAUAACCAAUUACAGAUUCCUUUGUUCCUUAUCCACUCCCACUGCUUCAUCU